rnacentral:rRNA from 1 species
GACGAACGCUGGCGGCGUGCUUAACACAUGCAAGUCGAACGAGGGAGCCCAGCUUUCUGGGUGGGUUAGUGGCGAGCGGGGGAGUAACACAUGAGUAACUUGUGCUCAACCCUGGGAUACGCCUGCUAAAACCGGAUGAGUACUGGGUAUCAAAGCUUUUGGCCGGCUGGGGGGCGGACAGCUUCCGUGGAGUUGGUUGGAGGCGCGGCGGAUCAGCUUGUCGGCGGGGUGGGGGUGCACCAAGGCGACGACGGGUAGCGCGCCUGAGAGGGUACCCGGCCACGCUGGGACUGGGAUACGGCCCAGACUCCUACGGGAGGCAGCAGUGGGGAGUGGUGCACAAUGGGCUGAAGCCUGAUGCAGCGACGCCGCGUGGGGGAUGUCGGCCUGCGGGUUGUAAACCACUUUCGUUUGGGAGGAAGCGAGAGUGACGGUACCCGCAGAAGAAGCCCCGGCUAACUACGUG